GAUGAAGAAGCAACGAAAUGCGAUAAGUAAUGUGAAUUGCAGAAUUCAGUGAAUCAUCGAAUCUUUGAACGCACAUUGCGCCCGCCAGUAUUCUGGCGGGCAUGCCUGUUCGAGCGUCAUUUCAACCAUCAAGCCCCAGGCUUGUGUUGGAGCCCUGCGGCUGCCGCAGCCUCCCAAAACCAGUGGCGGGCUCGCUAUCACACCGAGUGCAGUAGUUUACUCUUCGCUCAGGGCGUGUGGCGGGUGCUAGCCGUGAAACCCCCAACUUCUCAAGGUUGACCUCGGAUCAGGUAGGAAUACCCGCUGAACUUAAGCAUAUCAAUAAGCGGAGGA
rnacentral:misc_RNA from 1 species